rnacentral:rRNA from 1 species
CAGCCGCGGUAAUUCCAGCUCCAAUAGCGUAUAUUAAAGUUGUUGCAGUUAAAAAGCUCGUAGUUGAAUUUCGGGGUUAGUAGGUUGGUCAUGCCUCUGGUAUGUACUGAUCUCACUGAUUCCUCCUUCCUUAUGAACCGUAAUGCCAUUAAUUUGGUGUUGCGGGGAAUUUGGACUGUUACUUUGAAAAAAUUAGAGUGUUUAAAGCAGGCUAACGCUUGAAUACAUUAGCAUGGAAUAAUGAAAUAGGACGUUCGAUCUUAUUUUUGUUGGUUUUCUAGGAUUGACGUAAUGAUUAAUAGGGAUAGUUGGGGGGCAUUAGUAUUCAAUUGUCAGAGGUGAAAUUCUUGGAUUUAUUGAAGACUAACUACUGCGAAAGCAUUUUGCCAAGGAUGUUUCAUUAAUCAAGAACGAAGUUAGGGAUCGAAGACGAUCAGAUACGUCGUAGUCUUAACCAUAAACUAUGCCGACUAGGGAUCGGAUGAUGUUAAUUUUAUAAUGACUCAUUCGGCGCCUUACGGGAAAC